rnacentral:rRNA from 1 species
AUUGAACGCUGGCGGCAGGCCUAACACAUGCAAGUCGAGCGGAUGAAGGGAGCUUGCUCCUGGAUUCAGCGGCGGACGGGUGAGUAAUGCCUAGGAAUCUGCCUGGUAGUGGGGGAUAACGUCCGGAAACGGGCGCUAAUACCGCAUACGUCCUGAGGGAGAAAGUGGGGGAUCUUCGGACCUCACGCUAUCAGAUGAGCCUAGGUCGGAUUAGCUAGUUGGUGGGGUAAAGGCCUACCAAGGCGACGAUCCGUAACUGGGCUGAGAGGAUGAUCAGUCACAGUGGAACUGAGACACGGUCCAGACUCCUACAGGAGGCAGCAGUGGUGAAUAUUGGACAAUGGGCGAAAGCCUGAGCCAGCCAGGCCGCGGGUGUGAAGAAGGUCUUCGGAUUGUAAAGCACUUUAAGUUGGGAGGAAGGGCAGUAAGUUAAUACCUUGCUGUUUUGACGUUACCAACAGAAUAAGCACCGGCUAACUUCGUG